UUUACCUGGUACUUUACAGAAAACAUUUGCUGACCUCUGAGCUAGCUCACAGUUCAGGCAAGGAAAUUGAAGUCCUGAAAGUUUAACUGAUUUGUUCCAGCUCAGAUGACUACACAGUGAACAAUUUAUAUUGGAUUGAGAUGAUCUGGUCUUGGAAGAUAUGAUAGAAUUUUCCUUUGCAACUGAUUGUGGUGCUUUUUUGCAACCUACAGAACGGGAGAAAAUUUUUGCAAACUAUACAUCUG